UCAUAGGGCCGGGCAGGUUCCUAUACAUAUAUAUGAACGUGUCCACAGCCUUCUCCAAGGGCUUUGAGACUUAAGAAUUAAUGAAGCUGAAUCACCAAAAUCUGACGAACAUACUUUCAUGGUGGCAGAACCUGUUCUGAGCUUUCUUCCUCCUCUUGCCCACCACGGGAUCCAGCAAAUAGCUCAAAUGCCUAAAAGGGCGGCGCCUCUCCUCCACCAGGGAUCACUGAUGUCAAAGACCACAUCACACAACUGGGCUCAACCAGUCUCUGCAGUGGCCCACCGGCAGCCUUCUGCGGUCAACCUUGUGUCUUCCUGCAAGCUGCUCGGGGAAUGCUGGAGAACUCAGCGCUGCCCAAACUUGCUGCGGGCCGGCACCUGGAAGAGCCAGCGAGUUAAAAUGGUGAAGUUCUCUAGGACAAUGCAGCAGACACAUGUGCAGAGGAGAUUGUAUAAGUUUCAGUUCUUGACCAGCUGGCUCCCAAGCAGGACUUCAUGCGAGGAAGCAAAGAAGAAGCAUUUGCUCAGUCUGAUUCUCUAAUGACGUGUUAUGUUUUACUGCUUUGUCAUUGGGUCCAGAGAUAUCUAAAUCUCAAGAUCGAUUCUACCCAUUUUCUGUAGAGUAGAGAAAUUAUUUAAAAGCAAAUGACUCCACGGGCCUUGCUUCUUGCUUUGAAAGUUGUACUUUUGAUCAAUACUAAAUCAUCCCCCAGAUGCAAAUUAUGUGUUCAUCUAUUCCCUGUCUGGUUUAAUGGUAAUGAACAAAUAAUAUGGACUUCGAUCCGAGUGGGGACAUCAGAAAUGGAACAGGAAACAUUGACCUUGAAGUACAUGAUAUUGAAUCGUGCGUCCAAUCUAUGAGGCAGGACCCUAAGAAAGCUGAAUGUCAUAAAUGAAAAGAUAAUGAGAGGGUGUCAUGGCACCCAUGAAAAAGAAGACAAUUUAAAAACUUUCCUCCAGCCUCUUAAUAGUUCUAAUUACCACAUUGCUCUCACUUUUUUGAGUCCGUUAAUUCAGUUCGUUGCCAAGGAGGCACUGGCUCACACAGGAUUCCGGAAAUGAUUCUUUCACUUUAGGCUGUUUUCAGUCCUGGCUGCGCCUCACCUGCAGCCCAGGCCUGGUCUCUCUGGGGAAUGCAGUGAGCAGAGGUGGCAGGAUUUCCAACUCAUGGAGAAUCAGUCUUAAGAUCUCUCAACACUAAGUGGCAUUUGGGUAUUAUUUUCAUAGUUUUUAUUAUAUCCCACACUAUUACUUAAUUUUUUUAAAAAAAGUACUCAGUUUAUAAUUUACAAAAUUUACUGUUAGAUUAGUCAAAGGGAGAUAAGCUGUGUUGCAGUAACAAAUAAGCCUGGAGACUGGAGUUGCUUAAUACAGGAAAGGUUUCUUUUUCAUUCUUGAGGGUAUAAUGACAAUCAGAUGACUUUUCAUGGCACCUUUCUUGCAGAUACACAGUGAAAUUUAGAUCCUGGCUCCCUUUGUCUUAUAAUGUCACCUUCUCAAAAAGAGGCUUCUGAGCCACUUAUAUAAAGGAAGAGUGGCUGGCAGGCUGCAUGCUGGCUGGUCAGUGCUCUGGGGACUUGUGUGGUUUCCUCUCACCUUCCUCUGGUCACAGGGCCUCUCCUGUCUGCAAAGGGCUGGAAGUAGACGUUGCACAAUGCUGAGCUCAACUGUCCCUGGCCGGUGAUGGACAGUGAGAGACAGACGUUACCACUGGCCGUGAAGGAGGAGCAGCAGCAGCCCACACAGAACAAUGUUUGUAACUGUAGACAGGUGUUUUCACCCCCUCAACAUCCUAGUCUGAGAUUUAUUUAGUUUGUCCAAAAGACACUGUGUGGGUAGGAGAGAGAGUGAGAGAGACCAGAGAGACAGAGAGAGAGAGAGAGACCGAGACACAGAAAAAGACAGACAGACAAAGACUUUCUCUCCAAAGGAAUCAGAAAGAUUAAAAUAAAGUUUUUAAAUGGGCUAGGAAUGUAGCUCAAUGGUAGAGUACUUAAUUAUUAUUCACAAGGCUGGGGGUCAAUUCCCAAUACUGCCAAGAAAUUUAAAAAAACUAUUUUAAAAAUUAAAUUUAUUUUAAAGCAGUAUAACAUCGUAAACACUGCACAAGACACUCACCUUUUGGAGCAGUUUGUGGUGGAUCUGGCUUCCCCCACGAAGGUUCUCAGGACUUUUGGAGGACUCAGUCCUUGCUGCUGUGGUGGGGUGGGGCUUUCCCUGGUCUCUGCUCCCUGGCCAUCUGCAACCCACAACCCCUGGCUUGAAGCAUCAACCGCAUCUCCAAUCUCGGCCAGUGCCCCCUGGUAGGAGGCCCUCGCUCCUCAGACCUAUUGGCUGAACUCCACUAUUCUGAUUUUAUACUUUGGGCUUAUGAGAAGUGAGGCGUCUAAAAGUUAGCCUGUUCUGAGGCUGAAGGGUUCUGAUAUACUAUCAAAUUAUUCCCACUCUUAGAAACCAAAGGCACACAGGGCAGUGGGGGCAGGUGGAUUUGCUUCCAUGGUGCUUUCUGGGUUGAUUUUUGAUAUGAGAAAAUAGCUAUGGAAGAGAUCUGUGGCAGCCCACCCAGCAGCACCCUCUUUUACCACCAUUGUAUUGUAUUUUAGCAGUCUGCAUGAUACCUUGGUUCCACAGUUUCAACUGGGGAUCAAAUUCUAAGUUUGCACCAUAUUGCCCCCUACUGGUCAUUUUGUUUCACAGUACACAGGAAAAAAACGCUUGCAAAACAGCUUGUAGAACUGAGGCAAGGAGGGUGUUGCAUCCGAGGAGACGGGCCUGACUGGUGGCCCUGGGUGGCUCCAGUUUAGAGUUUCUUCGGCGCCCAGACACUUUCCCGGCUGUGUCUUCCAGCGAGGCCUCAACGUCGACCUUCGCGCCCUCAGCGGAGGACACGGAGCCCCUGCAAACAGAACCCAAAGCUGCUUCCAUGUUAAGCAGAAGGAACAUUCUGCAGGCGGCGACAUCUGUGCAGAAGCGUUUUAUGAACCCCCAAAAGAGAGCUGUCGGACGCAACUGGACGUGACUCAGCUGAAAGGCUACCAAUGACGUGUACCUGUGUCUAACCUUAGAUACUUCCCGGCUUGUCUGUGUGUCCUCCUUCGCGAGCAGGCCGCUGCUUCCUAGGACCCUCAUCCUGUGUCCCAUCGCGGACCAUUUAGUUAAUCCCAGUGGGACGGAACCGUGCUACAGAUGCAUGAAUUUGUCAGUUAAGAGCUAUGAUGAGGAGCCUACUUAAGUUUCAGAUAACCAGAGCCUGGUCUAAUGGCUUUUCUCCUGUCAAUAGGUGACGCUGUAAUCAGUGAUCCUAUAAAGCCUCUGAGGAUAAGGUUUUUUUGUUUCGUUUUGUUUUAGAUGGAAUCAAGAGAAUGCAGACAAAGAAAGCAGGUCCAUUCAAUCUCAUCUUCAGGGAAGAAAUUUUAAAAACUAUCACCUAACUUUCUACAUGUGGGCUUAUUUAUACAUUUAACUAUCUCAAAUAACAAACCCCUUAAACCUAAAUAGUGAAUUCAUGCUCCAUUAGCUACUUUUUUCUGCAGGCUAUUUUUCCAGAAAAUAAAAUUUUAUUUAGGGGAAUUGGAACUAGGAUUGCUUUUUUGCAAUUAAUUAAAACAACCAACAUGUUUAAUUCUAGACCACAGCUAUUACUGUAAUCCUACGCUUUUAAAGGAGAUCUGAUCUCAGUCCACAUCAACACAGUGUGGACAAGGAAUCACAAGGUCAGAUAUGCAGGCAGUCAGUUUGCAGAAGGUGUGGGUCCGCAGCAGCUGGCUUUCUCUAGGAUGUAUAGGUUUCCUAAGACAAAUGCACAGUUUUUAAAUUUCUGCUUUACACAAACAGGCAGCAGGUGAAGAAGAAGCUCCACAACUCACCUUAACCUGCCUCAUAAUUGAAAUAAAGUCCCUUCUGUCCACUUUGCUCUCAUGUGGUGGUUUAAACAGCAGCCUGCAUUUUAAAGCCAUAAAUACACACUGAUGUUUUUUGAAAAGAAACUGAGAAGACAGAAAUACUCUGGGAGUUCUGGUUUAUGUUUCUGAAGGUUGGUUAACAGUCGCUUUACUUGCUCUGACUCAGAGACCCCAGGGUAACAGGGGGCUGAACCCUAACAUAAGACGGUCACCCCACAGGUGCACGAGGUCAGCACGCGAGGCACCUCAGCCUCAGCGCCUUUCUUAAGGGACUUUCACGGUAGGGCCGGAGAGGAUGCAGAUCCCAGAGAUCCAGACUCACUCAGGGCUCUGCACGCACAGGAGCUGCCUGGCCUGGGCACCCACUGCUGGGCUAAGCAGGCAGGGGCUGAGGGGGCUCCAGAGCAAGAGGCUGGGAUGGGUUUGUUCCUUUUUUUUCCGUUUCUCUAUUUCCUUCCUUUUUCUGGGUGUGAUGUGGAAAACUGAACCUGAUCUUUCACCUUCAUUAUAUCUGCUAUUUUUUUUUUUUUAAUUUUGAGACUAAGUCUCGUUAAAUUGCCCAGGCUGGGUUUAACUUUGGGGUGCUCCUACAUCAGUCUCCCAGAUUGCUGGGAUUAUGAGCAAGCACACAGCUUCUGGUUGAAUUAGAUUUUUUUUUUCUCUUCAAAGAAUUUGACACAUAAGAUUGAACAUAUUUGUGAAGUGUUGUGAUAUUUCAGUAUAGGUAUGAUUGUGACAGUGGUCAAAUCGAGGAAAUCAUUCUGUUCCCUCAAACAUUAUCUUUUUUUUUGUACCAGGAAUCCACGAUCGAUGUCACUCUUGCCAGACAGGUGCUUAUGCCACUGAGCUAAAUCCCCAGCCCCAUUUAUCAUUUCUUUCUGGGAAAAAACAAAUGCAAUCAUUUCUUCUAGCUAUUUUUAGAUAUACACUACACUAUGCUUACCUAUCAUCACCCCACUGUGCAAGAGCACACCCAAACUGAUUUUUCCUGUCUCUCUGUGGCUCAGGGUUCACUCUGAGAACUUCCAAACCCUCUACAUGGAGGAGCAAGACGAGGGCCGGAUUGUAACAGCUGUUCAUUGCUGGUUAAAGUACCUGGAUGAUGUUGCUAAUAAAACAUCAAAAAAUGCAAGAAAACCGUCCAGGUCUUAUCCUUAGCCAUGCGCCUUCCCGGCUGUGUGAACCUUUGUCUUGUUAAACUGUCAAGUGAAAUUCAGGAAUGCUCAUGCGAGGAGAAGACAAUUCUUUUUUAAAGAUAUACUUUUCUUAGGGGGCUGAGGAUUUAGCUCAGUGGCAUAAGCGCCUGCCUUGCAAGUGUGCGGUCAUGAGUUCAAUCUCCGGUACUGAUAAAAAAGAAAAAGAAAAAAGAAAAAAAAAAGAUAUGCUUUUUCCCUACGAAUUCUUCUUCUGUGAGUGAACCAAUGAUCAAUUCAGUUUAAAAUUCUGUCCCUUUCUCGUUUUCUUCCUUUCCUUCUCUUUUUUUCUAGGAAAGGCGUAUUUCAGGCAUUCUACCCAGCAAUAAAGGAUUCAAGAUUUAUGAGAAAAAUUUUCACUGUUUUUGGGGAUGAGGCAAAAUAAAAACUGAAAAAGCCACGGGCAGGGGCAGAUCCUACUUUUAUGAAGCCUAAAGUCAAAAGAAUUGAUAUGAGUCAAAGAACUGUCCAUAUAUAUUAUAUUUCAAUAUAUAUAUAUUAUAUAUGAGUUCUUAAAAACUUUUAUUAAAGAUUCUGCCAUUAAAA